rnacentral:rRNA from 1 species
UUGUGAAAGCCUUCUGCUUAACGGAAGAACAGCAUCUGAUACUGCAAGGCUAGAGUGCGGAAGGGGAGAGUGGAACUUCUGGUGGAGCGGUGAAAUGCGUAGAUAUCAGAAGGAACACCGGCGGCGAAGGCGACUCUCUGGUCCGUAACUGACGCUGAGUGUGCGAAAGCUAGGGGAGCAAACGGGAUUAGAUACCCCGGUAGUCCUAGCCGUAAACGAUGGGCACUAAGUAGAGGG